AGCAAAUGUAAUACAGAAAGGAAGAAAGGUAAGAAAUUUUAAAAAUGAAUGAGAACUGGGGGGAGAGGAAGAGAAGUUAGAAAGACAUGGCCUUGAAUAAUGAGGCAAUGCAGAGAAGGUUAAUAUUCUAUGAAAUUACUUACCUUUAUCUGCAAAGGUAAGUUCUAGUCUGAAGUUUAUUGGCUUUCAGUCUGGGAAUAACUUCUUUAUAUUUCCUCAACUUAGAGGAAACAGUGGUACUUGCAGCAAUGCUAAAAAAGCAGGCUUAGUGAGUGGGUUUAAUUUUAAAUAUCAGGGACGAAACAAGUCACCAAGCAGGCCUUAGAGUGGAAAUAGGAAUUUUAAUCUUUCGUCCUUCCUGCUGUAGCUCACAGAAAACAGUGCAGACUGGCUACAGAAGAAUCAUGCCAAAGAACAUAUGAGGGCUCAUUUUAUGAGAUCGGUUUUGGAGUUGCAAUUCUAAGCUGGUAGAAGGUUUGCAAAGUACUUGAAAAACUUGACCCUUCUCCAGACUCCCCCGCAUGAGUCACCCAACCUUCCUUCAGUCAUUAGACUGCACUUCCUGCUGGGAUCCAGCAAUAAAACAAACGAGAGACACUGAUUCUGGUCAUGGUGAGGGAGAUUCUCCUGGUAUUUUAGUUCCAAACUUGCCUACUAUUACAGUAACUGUGCUAAGAGAACUGCUGUCUCCAUAAACUCCUUGGGUUCAUUCCUCAGUGUACACAGGAGACACAACCCCUUUAAACUUCAAGGAGAUCCCAUUGCAGUGUAGAAGAGAAAAAUUCAGAGAUUAUGGAAUAAUCAUCUCCAAAUCGAUCAAUUUCCCCCUGAAGGCAACCAUCUUCCUUGGACAAUAAGAAUUCUGAAUUUCAGCUGCAUAGAUCAAAUAGUGAUUAUAGUACUGCUCUCCCAAUACUGGAAUGAGCUCUGGCAGUUCCAUCCUCCACAGAAUGUCUGAUAAAGGUCAGUGGAUUACCUCAUGUCAUCACCUGGCAGAUAUCAGAAAUUGGAACCUCUUCUGAAACAGGAGGGAGAUGUCACUCGAGCAUUGGGAGAGCAAAGUUAAUAUUCAAUGGGAAAGUCGCAGCAGCCAAAUGGAGAGAAGUACCCUGUACUGCCCAUUUGGAAAUGCUCUGUGAGGAAACGGCUUGACCUUUAGAACACCCAGCAGUGGCUAUAAAUAAAUGGAACAACAGACUAUCAAUGUAGUAAAGCAAAGUUCUGGAUUUAGCUAGGGCAGAUUUUUAACAGAACGCCAGGGAGGCAUUUGAACUAAGUCUCAAAAAACUAGGGAGCUGUCUGAGUAAGUCAGUGCUGAGAGACAGGGAUGAUGAUGUAGAACUAACUUGACAACCACAAAAUGCCAAAGCCCGAAUGUUAUCAUGGCCCCUCCCAGAGCCUAAUGCUAUAGCACACACCCACAGUGGCAUGUUAGGUAUGCCCAAUUGAUGCUUUCACAGUCCUGUCAAAAAAGCACCAGAUAGACAUGUCCUCUGGUAUAA